GGUGACAUAGUCGAGUGGUAAGGCGGGGGGUUGCAAAUCCCUUAUUCCCCAGUUCAAAUCCGAGUGUCGCCU
rfam:Gossypium hirsutum cultivar TM-1 chromosome 6, whole genome shotgun sequence